rnacentral:rRNA from 1 species
GCCGCGUGUAUGAAGAAGGCCUUCGGGUUGUAAAGUACUUUCAGCGGGGAGGAAGGGAGUAAAGUUAAUACCUUUGCUCAUUGACGUUACCCGCAAAAAAAGCACCGGCUAACUCCGUGCCAGCAGCCGCGGUAAUACGGAGGGUGCAAGCGUUAAUCGGAAUUACUGGGCGUAAAGCGCACGCAGGCGGUUUGUUAAGUCAAAUGUGAAAUCCCCGGGCUCAACCUGGGAACUGCAUCUGAUACUGGCAAGCUUGAGUCUCGUAAAGGGGGGUAGAAUUCCAGGUGUAGCGGUGAAAUGCGUAAAAAUCUGGAGGAAUACCGGUGGCGAAGGCGGCCCCCUGGACAAAGACUGACGCUCAGGUGCGAAAGCGUGGGGAGCAAACAGGAUUAAAUACCCUGGUAGUCCACGCCGUAAACGAUGUCGACUUGGAGGUUGUGCCCUUGAGGCGUGGCUUCCGGAGCUAACGCGUUAAGUCGACCGCCUGGGGAGUACGGCCGCAAGGUUAAAACUCAAAUGAAUUGACGGGGGCCC